GUACGUAGGGUGCGAGCGUUGUCCGGAAUUAUUGGGCGUAAAGAGCUCGUAGGCGGUCUGUCGCGUCGGCUGUGAAAACCCGGAGCUCAACUCGGGCCUGCAGUCGAUACGGGCAAACUGGAGUGUUGCAGGGAGACUGGAAUUCUGGUGUAGCGGUGAAAUGCGCAGAUAUCAGGAGGAACACCGGUGGCGAAGGCGGGUCUCUGGGCAACACGUGACGCUGAGGAGCGAAAGCGUGGGGAGCGAACAGG
rnacentral:rRNA from 1 species